CCUACGUGAGGCAGCAGUGAGGAAUAUUGGUCAAUGGCCGAGAGGCUGAACCAGCCAAGUCGCGUGAGGGAAGACGGCCCUACGGGUUGUAAACCUCUUUUGUCGGGGAGCAAAGCGAACCACGUGUGGUUCAUUGAGAGUACCCGAAGAAAAAGCAUCGGCUAACUACGUGCCAGCAGCCGCGGUAAUACGUAGGGGGCAAGCGUUAUCCGGCUUUACUGGGUGUAAAGGGAGCGUAGACGGGGAUGCAAGUCUGAAGUGAAAGGCGGGGGCCCAACCCCCGGACUGCUUUGGAAACUGGAUGGCUGGAGUGCAGGAGAGGUAAGUGGAAUUCCUAGUGUAGCGGUGAAAUGCGUAGAUAUUAGGAGGAACACCAGUGGCGAAGGCGGCUUACUGGACUGUAACUGACGUUGAGGCUCGAAAGCGUGGGGAGCAAACAGGAUUAGAUACCCUAGUAGUC
rnacentral:rRNA from 1 species